GAUGAACGCUGGCGGCGUGCCUAAUACAUGCAAGUAGAACGCUGAAGGAGGAGCUUGCUCUUCUGGAUGAGUUGCGAACGGGUGAGUAACGCGUAGGUAACCUGCCUGGUAGCGGGGGAUAACUAUUGGAAACGAUAGCUAAUACCGCAUGACAACAGUUAUUGCAUGAUAACUGUUUAAAAGGGGCAACUGCUCCACUACCAGAUGGACCUGCGUUGUAUUAGCUAGUUGGUGAGGUAACGGCUCACCAAGGCGACGAUACAUAGCCGACCUGAGAGGGUGAUCGGCCACACUGGGAGGGGGACACGGCCCAGACGCCUACGGGAGGCAGCAGUAGCGAAUCGUCGGCAAUGGACGGAAGUCUUACCGAGCAACGCCGCGUGAGUGAAGAAGGUUCUCGGAUCGUAAAGCUCGGUUGUAAGAGAAGAACGAGUGUGAGAGUGGAAAGUGCACACUGUGACGGUAUCUGAACAGAAAGGGACGGCUAACUACGUG
rnacentral:rRNA from 1 species